rnacentral:rRNA from 1 species
GACGAACCGAGCGAACGUUGUUCGGAAUCACUGGGCUUAAAGGGCGCGUAGGCGGGCUGUCAAGUCUGGGGUGAAAUCCCGCGGCUCAACCGUGGAACUGCCUCAGAUACUGACGGCCUCGAGGGAGGUAGGGGCGAGCGGAACUCUCAGUGGAGCGGUGAAAUGCGUUGAUAUUGGGAGGAACUCCGGUGGCGAAAGCGGCUCGCUGGACCUUUUCUGACGCUGAGGCGCGAAAGCUAGGGGAGCAAACGGG